rfam:Bacterium CSP1-2 XT11_C0014, whole genome shotgun sequence.
GGGGGCGAUCUGGCUUCGACGGGGAAUGGGAUAACCCAAGCUGCAUGUCGAGUUUCUGCUAACUCGUAAAACUGGCAGAGCACAUAAUAAGUGCCGAACCAAUCAAUGCACUUGCUGCCUAACUAGAGCAGCGGCGUCUCCAAAAACCUCGCCCGUUGGGUUUUUGUGAGGCGUGAGCUAGACGGGCUUGUCUGCUGGUGGUACUUGUGACACCGGCAGAUGAGACAAACUCACAAGUUAGCAGUGAAAAUCCUGCCUAUCGGAGUUAUCACUGCGAGAACCAAAAGAUGGGAUAAGCAUGUAGACGCAGGGUGAGGCUCUUCUUCGGACCUGGGUUCGAUUCCCAGCGCCUCCACCA